rnacentral:rRNA from 1 species
AGAGUUUGAUCCUGGCUCAGGACGAACGCUGGCGGCGUGCCUAAUACAUGCAAGUCGAGCGAACAGAUGGGAGCUUGCUCCCUGAUGUUAGCGGCGGACGGGUGAGUAACACGUGGGUAACCUGCCUGUAAGACUGGGAUAACUCCGGGAAACCGGGGCUAAUACCGGAUGGUUGUUUGAACCGCAUGGUUCAAACAUAAAAGGUGGCUUCGGCUACCACUUACAGAUGGACCCUCGGGUCAUCGGCCACGCUGGUGAAGUAAUGGCUCACCAAGGCAACGAUGCCUAGCCGACGCGAGGCAGCAGUAGGGAAUCUUCCGCAAUGGACGGAAGACGGACGGAGCAACGCCGCGUGAGUGAUGGAGGUUUUCCGGAUCGUAAAGCUCUGUUGUUAGGGAAGAACAAGUACCGUUCGAAUUAGGGCGGUUCCUUGACGGUACCUAACCAGAAAGCCACGGCUAACUACGUGCCAGCAGCCGCGGUAAUACGUAGGUGGCAAGCGUUGUCCGGAAUUAUUGGGCGUAAAGGGCUCGCAGGCGGUUUCUUAAGUCUGAUGUGAAAGCCCCCGGCUCAACCGGGGAGGGUCAUUGGAAACUGGGGAACUUGAGUGCAGAAGAGGAGAGUGGAAUUCCACGUGUAGCGGUGAAAUGCGUAGAGAUGUGGAGGAACACCAGUGGCGAAGGCGACUCUCUGGUCUGUAACUGACGCUGAGGAGCGAAAGCGUGGGGAGCGAACAGGAUUAGAUACCCUGGUAGUCCACGCCGUAAACGAUGAGUGCUAAGUGUUAGGGGGUUUCCGCCCCUUAGUGCUGCAGCUAACGCAUUAAGCACUCCGCCUGGGGAGUACGGUCGCAAGACUGAAAAUCAAAGGAAUUAAGGGGGGCCCGCACAAGCGGUGGAGCAUGUAGUUUAAUUCGAAGCAACGCGAA